AAUCUUGGUAGCUGAAGCUUGGUGAUUCUGCAAAGUCGGUUCUGGCCGUUGCCUAAUAAUUUCUCUCUGAUGAAUCCUGGGAGAAGCUGGUUUUGGAGUAGCAACUCUAGGAGAAGCAGCCCUCGGAGAUGCAGCUUUAGGUGAAGCAACCUUUGGAGAAGGAGCCCGAGGAGAAGCCACUCGAGGAGCCACAUAAGCUGAAGAUGUCCGUGGUUGCUCAGGAAGAGGGGGCGUGGCAGGUCUAUAAACGAUUUUGUGCUCUCUCUCG
rnacentral:lncRNA from 1 species